AUAUCUGUAAGGUGGGUUUUUCAUUUUUGUUAUAUCUGCCCUGGAAUUAGGGUUUUCGGAAAGAGAUUUUGAAUUCAUAGUGAAUUUCAUCAUCAAAAAGGUAUGGUCACUGUUAAAGAUUCUUGAAAUUUAUGAUUUCUAUGGCUUUCUUUCAAUCAUCCAUAAAGUUCAAAUUUCAAUUAUUUUUUAUUGAACUUAAUUAAGUUUGUUAAAAUAAUUUUACAACUGUCACUGUUCUUGAUUGUUUUUCCUUUAUACUCCUGUUUUUGUUGGUCUUUUCAUUUUGUUGAAUUGCUUCGAUAUAUUUGUAAGCUAAAUUUAAUUGAUGGCAUUAUAUAAAUUAUCUCGAUUAUUUCAUUUCCUCUCAUGUUCUUCUAGUUAUUGGGUUCUAGUAUAUUACUUUGAGCAGAUUUCUUGUACUCAUUUUUCCGUUUUCAUGCCAAAAAAGAGAGGAAACGUCACGAUCAUAUAUUUGUUUGUAUUGUUUAUUUUUCUUUACUUUCUGAGGCUUGUGGUGAUAAUUAUAUGUACUCUCCGUGAUUUGAAGUUUCUGUAAUUGUUAGUAAUAUUAUGUACUUGGAAAGUACGGAAGUAGUUAAAUAGGGAGAACCAAUGUCUAUGUAUCUUUUAUCCAUUCUUUCACUUAUUUUAUUUGAUAGUGAAAAAGGCAAAAGACAAGUUGAUUUUUGCUUCUUUAAUAUAGAUGGAGGAUAUCUCUUUCUCAGCAUUAAGUCACUGGUAAGCAAAAUUCGAUAUAAUUUAGCUGUUUUUAGUCUUACAAUUUGAAUAGAAUGUACAUAUAUUCAUUGGGAAUUUUUGUGGCGCUAUUUGCCAUGAUGAUUGUCUUCCAUUUCUGCCUUGACAAGUAUUGGAGCUAACUUUGAUUGAAGUAUGUUAAAAUUUUAGUUGAACGGUUCUUUUCAAGUUGAUCCAUCUUUAUGAAUUUUUCUUUUUUCUCACAGGUAUCUUUGGGAUGCACUGGGAAAUGGUCUACGAGAGCUUACUUCAGUCCACUCAUGGACGAGAUUAGGGGUUGAAUUAGCUGCUGACUCAUUCAUUUAAUCACUCAGUAGAAUACAAAGUUUUUUGCUACUGUGACUGAGUGAAUGAUGCAGGAGAUAGUUCUACAUCCCACUUUUUCUGUGCUUGGACUGAAGGGAGCUCCUCUAGCCAUUGCCCUCAUUUUGUUUCUCCAGUUGUCUCGUCUUGUUUCUAAAAGACAAAGUCAGUUUCUCAGAAAAGUAGUUGCAUGAAUGUUGAACACCUAUCUCCUACAUUCUUCCACGCUGUUUUUAUAGUUAAAACUGAAGUUUCUCAACUCUCUAACACUUUUAUACAAGUUUCUCGAGUUCUUUAAUGAUCACAUAUCAGGUACAUUGAUAUGGAAUAGGAGGAUGUUAAUCCUCGCUUUCUUGAGAAAAUAUUACUGGAUGGGAGUGAUUAACUAAAAAUAUCUUGCUCGGUUCUGGUUCUUUCGGCAGUUAUUGUAAAACAUUAUAGUUAAUUCUAUCGUGGGUAAUCAGUUUCAACAACUAUAUAUAAUUGUUCUUACCUAGAAAAAGCUUGGUUCCUUCAUUGAUAAAUCCUAUCUGUCCAUCAAUUAUGCAUGAUGAAAUAGGACUUGUUAAUGUAUCUUGUGGGAGAUGAGUAAGAGAAGCUCAGAUGAUAACAUCCCUGUUUUGCUUGUCGAAGAAUGGCUUCAAACUGUUUUGCAGAUUUCAUUAUUCAUAACGGAAAGCUCCCUUGUGCAUGUUACAAGUUAGUACUUGGUUCCUUUUGUUAAUAUUUUCGGACAUGUUUGGUAGGAAGGAUUAGAUUAUACCAAUAAUAUCAAUGAAGAUAAUGAGCUAAAAUCAUGUAUAUUUUAAUCUCCAGACCUUUAAAGAAGAAAAUAAGCUAAAAUGAUGUUUAUUGUAUUCUCCAGGCUUGUCGAAUACCGAGCACCGUGUACCAAGCGUACACUUCUACUGUAUAUAUUUUCCACCAAGGUGUGUUGCGUGAAGAUCAUGAAGUUUAUCUGCAAUACCAUGUUGAUUUCACUUCACCUGCCAUCGGCAAAUUUAUUGGUAUGUUUCAAAUGUCGCAUAUUAUAUCCACAAGAAAAGCUCGCGUAGUUUGAUUUCUUGAACUGAGCUUGGCUUUUGCACUCAAUUCUAUUAAACAUCAUCAGAAAUACUCUUUUUUACUUUUAUGAUUAACUACUAGAUCUCCUUUCAGUCAAAAUCUUGUACUUUUACUGUCCAAAUUUUGUAGAAAAAGUACACUUAUCGAAUUAUAAAAUCAUAUAUAUCUGCUUUAAAAUCUCAUUAUCUGUUUCAUUUUCCACUUUGUUUAUGGUUUUAAGUACAUUUUUAAGGUAGUUAACUACUGUUCAUUAUCAGGCCAUGCAACUUUUGGUUCCAUUUAAGGCUGCAAGAUUUUAGGACAAUGUGAUAUUGCCAAAUAUGGGAUGAAGGACCUAAUUGUAGUUAACGUCCCUUUUUAGGAAAUUGGAGCUUUUUCUUGAAAUGAUUAGCAUUGUUAAGCUUUAUUUAUGCUUUUAAUCUUUUAUUUAUCCAUAACCUUUUUAUAUGUAUAGAAUCAAUAGAUUCUAUUUGUAGGGUGGUCCCCCCUCCCCUCAUAGUUUUUAAAUUGGGGUAAAUGUCCUUCAUUUUUGGUUCUUGAUAUUAUAUAAAUUUAUAUGAUGAAGACAAAGUGGGCAUUCAAAUGUAGUUUGUGAAAGUGUACAUUAAUCUUCUUUGUGGUCCUAGGGUUACAAGAAAGAGAUCUCUCUCUUUGGAGCACCUGAGAUCAAGGACAACUCGUCCUACCUCUAAAGGCAGUCGAGGAUUCAUAUGUCCCCAAAUAGACCUAGCAUCUCGAACAAUCACCUCUUCCUCCAAGGCUAUAUCCGGGCUUGUGUAAGAUCAUUCAAGUUGAGAGUUUGAACUUAGACCGAUGAAAACUCGAUUCUUGAAAAGGUUAAAAUGCUGUUUUAUAUUGAUUGGUACACUUCCCUUUCUAUGUAGCCCAAAAAUCUAG
rnacentral:lncRNA from 1 species